GUACUGUGCCAUCUCACUCUGCAUGCACUAAUCUAAUUGGGUCUCAGAAGCUAAGGAGGGUUGAGUCUGGUUAGUACUUGGAUAGGAAGAAGUCCACCAAAUUUUAUCUUGAAUAAAUAGCAGGGCAGAACU
ensembl:rRNA 5S_rRNA 5S ribosomal RNA